GACGAACGCUGGCGGCGUGCCUAAUACAUGCAAGUAGAACGCAGUUGCGAACGGGUGAGUAACGCGUCGGUAACUGCCUGGUAGCGGGGGAUAACUAUUGGAAACGCUAGCUAAUACCGCAUACUACCAGAUGGACCUGCGUUGUAUUAGCUAGUUGGUGAGGUAACGGCUCACCAAGGCAACGAUACAUAGCCGACUUGGGGAGGGUAUAGGGCACAAUGGGAAGUGGAAACGGCCCCGACGUCGACGGGAGGGAGCAGUAGGGAAACUUCGGCAAUGGGGGGAACCCUGACCGAGCAAAGCCGCGGGAGGGAAGAAGGGUUUCGGAGCGGAAAGGUCUGUUGUUAAGGAAGCGGUACUUAACCAGAAAGGGACGGCUAACUACGUGCCAGCAGCCGCGGUAAUAC
rnacentral:rRNA from 1 species